UCUCCAGCAACGUCGAGUUUAAAGCCAAACUUCAGCCAUGAAGAUUCUUUACCUGCUCUUUGUUGUCUUUUUCCUGGUACUGCAAAGCUCUCCAGGACUGGCCCAGUAUAUCAAUUCCGUCACUACUUGUAUACAUUUAGGGGGCAGGUGCCUCCCUAUAUGUUACGGCCCUUGGAGAAAGAUUGGAAACUGCAGGUUUAGGCGGAGUUGCUGCAGAAGAAGGUAAAGAGAGUGAGUGAUGGCAGAAGAUACUAUCAAUGCAGGAUUGCAGAGAAUCUGGCAGACAGCACCUUGCUUCUAAAAUCCUUGGAUGCUUUUCAUCUGGGCUGCAAAGAAUCUCACAAGCUGGAAACAAUCCACAAGGGAGCCCUUGUGUCACCUCUAAUAGCU